GAAUGCUGACAUAAGUAACGAUAAAGCGGGUGAAAAGCCCGCUCGCCGGAAGACCAAGGGUUCCUGUCCAACGUUAAUCGGGGCAGGGUGAGUCGACCCCUAAGGCGAGGCCGAAAGGCGUAGUCGAUGGGAAACGGGUUAAUAUUCCCGUACUUGGUGUUACUGCGAAGGGGGGACGGAGAAGGCUAUGUUGGCCGGGCGACGGUUGUCCCGGUUUAAGCGUGUAGGUGUGUGUUCCAGGUAAAUCCGGUUCACUUUAACACUGAGGCGUGACGACGAGGCACUACGGUGCUGAAGCAACAAAUGCCCUGCUUCCAGGAAAAGCCUCUAAGCAUCAGGUAACAUCAAAUCGUACCCCAAACCGACACAGGUGGUCAGGUAGAGAAUACCAAGGCGCUUGAGAGAACUCGGGUGAAGGAACUAGGCAAAAUGGUGCCGUAACUUCGGGAGAAGGCACGCUGACACGUAGGUGAAGUGAUUUACUCAUGGAGCUGAAGUCAGUCGAAGAUACCAGCUGGCUGCAACUGUUUAUUAAAAACACAGCACUGUGCAAACACGAAAGUGGACGUAUACGGUGUGACGCCUGCCCGGUGCCGGAAGGUUAAUUGAUGGGGUCAGCGCAAGCGAAGCUCCUGAUCGAAGCCCCGGUAAACGGCGGCCGUAACUAUAACGGUCCUAAGGUAGCGAAAUUCCUUGUCGGGUAAGUUCCGACCUGCACGAAUGGCGUAAUGAUGGCCAGGCUGUCUCCACCCGAGACUCAGUGAAAUUGAACUCGCUGUGAAGAUGCAGUGUACCCGCGGCAAGACGGAAAGACCCCGUGAACCUUUACUAUAGCUUGACACUGAACAUUGAGCCUUGAUGUGUAGGAUAGGUGGGAGGCUUUGAAGUGUGGACGCCAGUCUGCAUGGAGCCGACCUUGAAAUACCACCCUUUAAUGUUUGAUGUUCUAACGUGGACCCGUUACCCGGGUUGCGGACAGUGUCUGGUGGGUAGUUUGACUGGGGCGGUCUCCUCCUAAAGAGUAACGGAGGAGCACGAAGGUUGGCUAAUCCUGGUCGGACAUCAGGAGGUUAGUGCAAUGGCAUAAGCCAGCUUGACUGCGAGCGUGACGGCGCGAGCAGGUGCGAAAGCAGGUCAUAGUGAUCCGGUGGUUCUGAAUGGAAGGGCCAUCGCUCAACGGAUAAAAGGUACUCCGGGGAUAACAGGCUGAUACCGCCCAAGAGUUCAUAUCGACGGCGGUGUUUGGCACCUCGAUGUCGGCUCAUCACAUCCUGGGGCUGAAGUAGGUCCCAAGGGUAUGGCUGUUCGCCAUUUAAAGUGGUACGCGAGCUGGGUUUAGAACGUCGUGAGACAGUUCGGUCCCUAUCUGCCGUGGGCGCUGGAGAACUGAGGGGGGCUGCUCCUAGUACGAGAGGACCGGAGUGGACGCAUCACUGGUGUUCGGGUUGUCAUGCCAAUGGCACUGCCCGGUAGCUAAAUGCGGAAGAGAUAAGUGCUGAAAGCAUCUAAGCACGAAACUUGCCCCGAGAUGAGUUCUCCCUGAGACUUAAAGUCUCCUGAAGGAACGUUGAAGACGACGACGUUGAUAGGCCGGGUGUGUAAGCGCAGCGAUGCGUUGAGCUAAC
rnacentral:rRNA from 2 species